CGCACAUUGCGCCCUCUGGUAUUCCGGAGGGCAUGCCUGUCCGAGCGUCAUUGCUGCCCUCCAGCCCGGCUGGUGUGUUGGGCCCCGUCCCCCUUCCCGGGGGGACGGGCCCGAAAGGCAGCGGCGGCACCGCGUCCGGUCCUCGAGCGUAUGGGGCUUUGUCACCCGCUCUUGUAGGCCCGGCCGGCGCCAGCCGACCCCCUCAAUCUAUUUUCAGGUUGACCUCGGAUCAGGUAGGGAUACCCGCUGAACUUAA
rnacentral:misc_RNA from 1 species